AUUAAUUAGUUGACGGCAAGAAAUGGACAGAUGCACAACCUCCUACUUUGUACUACGUACUUUCUCAAAAGUGAAAAGGUAUGAUUUUCCAGUGACAGGCCGUGUGGCCAAAAGCAUUCAGAAGCUUUCAUGGACCAACGAAUCAUAACGGCACAAAAUUGACAGUCACAGCCAAAGUAGUAGCUAGGUGACCAUGCCAAGUAGCCUAGGCCUAUGUACAAUUUGGUGAUCAUCACGUCUUCACAUCACCUUGGCCUGAUCUUGUCUUGUAUGCGAGCGCACAAUCAUUCCCUCAUGCCUACCAUCAUUCAUCAGUCAAGUUUAAGAGCGUGCUCAACUGCACAAUGUAAUGAUUUUCUUUCUUUCUAAUGCUAUGCUAUUAACUUCUGAUAUGUAGUAAAAUUAAGCAUGUAGGCAGGAAGAAUCUAUCUGAUUACCCCUGUGUGCCAACCAGUUUAUACCGAGACUAACCGACACGAGUUUACUUAACAGGAAGAGACAAUAUUCUCCCAAAGAAUAAGAACAACUUCUACCAUGGCAUGCAAGAGAACAUAAAAGCAAAACUGUGUUUAGAUUCCACGGGUACUCACCAUGACCCAUGAUAGUUCUGCCACCUAGUCCAUUGGCUGUGACGAUGUUACCACGAAACGACCAGCAAGAUAUCUAUCGCCCUUUUCCACCAAAUCCCUAUCUGAUAUCUACUUUCUGAGCACAACCAAAAACAUCAUGCGUCGCUAGACCCACACACUGAUUUUCAUAGCUUUGCUGUCAACGUCUAGAUCCAGAAUUAAAUGCAGAUUAUAUGUGACACUUACUGCAGCACGCGUGCUGGAGCACAGGAAGCCUUACGAUAAUGCUGGAUUGAGAUUUAGUUCGCUCUGAUAGGCUGAUGACCUGCUCAACUCAAGGAGG
rnacentral:lncRNA from 1 species